CUGGGGUGGAAAUCCUCCAGCAGCAUCAGGCCUCAGUUGCCUCUCAGUUCUGCUGGCUCAGCUACUUGACCACUUUUGGAGUAUGGUGGAGAUGUAAACCCCCUCCAAGGAGAAACACACACCAAAAAGCUUCUACCUGUAGAAUCUGGAAUGCUAAUUUGAGAAUUCCAUGUGUGUUCUGACAUGUCAUAGAUCCUCUAAGCUAACAGGAUUUUUUAUUUUCACUGAAGCAGUUGCACUUAUGACAGAUCUUCAAAACAGAAGACAGAGCUAUCAAAAGCAAAUCUAAAAAGACACUUGGGUAGAUGCUGAGUGGCUGCUGGGUAUAGAUUCCCUACCUGCCUCUGGGAUCACGUGGAUCAUGGGAAUUUUCCUCCUGGCCUUCUGAGUGGCUCAGAUGUGGGCUCCUGACUCCAGCUAAACCCACCAGUGUCUUUUCUGAAGAGUGUGUGGACAAUGACUAGCGAGGGGCCAGCUUUUCUUUGGGGACAGGGUAAGAGCAUUUGGAGUUGGGGGGGACUUUUUCUGCUUGCCUACAGGACAUAGAGAAAGGCAGGUGGCUACUGAGUCCCCGGCUGCAGCUGCCUUUGAGACUGGUAGAACCGGCACCCUUUCUGAAUUCUGAAUCUUCAGUUCUUCCCAUGAUUCUACAGAAGCCUCUUGCUCUUCUUUCGUUGUUGUUUUGUUUCGUCUGAACUAGUUAGAGUUUGAUUUCGGGCACAUGGACCAAGGACACAGUUAAGAAAAUUCAAGAAGAAAGCAUAACCCCUGGUUUGAAAUACACGAAAUUACCAGCACUUCCUGACUCCACAGGUCAUAAUUGUCUGUGUGUGUCUGGCCUUGGGGAGGACCGAGAGAAGAACACGAAAGAGACAAGUGAGGAUGACUGGCUAAGCUCUUCGGAUCAUCCUGUCUGUUAAGGAGGCAGAACUCAUCCUGGCUGCAGGAAGAAACAGACAAUACCAGGAUUGUUCAAGCUAAGGGCUGAGGACUGAACACUAGGGCCCUGCCUCUGGUUGUCCUGCUGUUUCAUUGGCCAAGAGUUCGAAUUCUGCGUUCCUGUCAGCUUGCUAGAACACUGAAGUUAUGUCCCAUGACUAAACAAAAAUAUGAAUAAUUUCCUGCACAUUGGCUACAGCAGCAUAAUUCAGACAAAAGCCUGGUAAACGGUAUUUUUAGACAGGGGCCUUCUAGAACCAAUACAACUGUGUGACCAUGUGACAGUGCAAAUAUUUCUGUCUCUCUGAGCUGUAGUUUCUUAAUCCACAAAACUGACUACAUCUGAGACUGGUAAAACAUACGUGACAACAUUUUCAAACAUGACACGGUGCUGUACAAAUGUACAACAAUUAUGUUGAACUAAGUGUUACCUCAUAUUCUUAAGCUAUCCAAUUCAAUAUAACCUUUGUAUUUUCAGCCUACAAAUUCUGAAACAUGGCCGGGCGGUGGUGGCGCAUGCCUUUAAUCCCAGCACUCGGGAGUCAGAGGCAGGCUGAUCUCUGUGAGUUCGAGGCCAGCCUGGUCUCCAAAGC